ACCUGGUCUCACACCUAGACUCCGGGAGCUCCAGGUCCCUACUCUCUUAGGUUUCAGGGCCUAACCAAUCAGGAUGGCAAGAAGGACGUAUUUGGGGAGAUCCAAGCCUGUCUGCUUGGCUGUAGUGUAGGACUGGGGGGAAAAGAAAGGCACAGUAAGGAUCAAAACAAGGCUGGAGCGGUAGGUAAAGAUGAGUCCAUGCCAACGUAGGAGGCUUGAAGAUGUUUGGUAGGUCAUAGGUUCCCAAACUUUCCAGCUCACUGCAUCUGUAGCAUCUUCGUAAUUUGUUCAUGGUGCCCUCAGCCAGAAGACAUACUUCACAAUUCCAUUCGUUAAGUAGGUAUUGCUCUGUCACCCAGGCUGAAGUGCAGUGGCAUAAUCACAACUGACUGCAGCUGCAACCUCAACCUCCCCGGCCUCAAGUGAUCCUCCUGCCUCAGCUUCUCAGGUAGCUGGGACUACAGGCACACACCACCACACCCAGCUAAUUUUUGGAUUUUUUGUAAAGAUGGGGUCUUCCUAUGUUGCCCCAGCAGGUCUUCAAGUCCUGGUCUCAAGCUAUCCUCCUGCCUCAGCCUCUCAAAGUGCUAGGAUUACUAGUUGUGAGCCACCACGCCCAGUCGAAUGCUAGUUUCUGUGAUGCUCCUUUUGGCUUGUUAAACAUAACUGACCUUAGUCCUCCAGUUUUAUAUGAGAAGGAUACUUUUGAAGUCAAAUGCUAGUAUGAUGACUGAAGUGAGGAAAAGAUAUUGGAGCUGAAGAGAUUUACAUGAGUAGAACCGUUCCUAAUAUUACUUUAAACAGAAGAGUAAACAUUGAAUGAUGGGGCAGUGAGGUACACCCGUUGCAGUCUGUUCUAACUGGAUAGUCACAAAAACAACAGAGGAAAGGACACUCAGUUUGGUAUUUGGAGAAGAAAAGCCAGUACCUGAUAGUUUUAGCUCCCAUUAACAGGUACAUAAAAUAUUACCAAUUACAAAGCAGCAUCGUCUAAUGAAAUGAGACUUCUCAUACACUCUGUAGAAGCAUUUCCUAGAUUGUUUUUUCAAAUUCAAAAAUUUCAAGUGCACUUCCAAAAGUUUGUUGAAAGUGGCGUGGUGCAGCUUGGCGUGAAUUCACAGCUGUUUAACAUCUCAACGCUUUCAGGGAACUCGGCUUCUAAUUGGUUCCAAAGCCAAUUUAAGUUGUCUUACCAUGCAACGGGAACUCAAAAUGCUGAUUGGACCAAGACGCGUCGCUUACAACGUCUAUAAAUCAUGAUAGCGAUUGUUUUUGGAGGGAUUCUGUACAGAGCGGUUUAGUGACUGUUAAAAAUUUAAACAUCACGUUCUCAAGUGGAAACUCGCAAUUAUUUGAGGAGAGAAGAAGGGAGAAAAAGAGCGUUUGGAACUUAGAAGUGUACCUUAAAAGGCACCAGGAAACAUUCACAUAAAGGGAACGAUUUUCAUUGAAGUAUUUAUAGGAAUGGAGCAUGUUUACCUGCAGUGUUUCUGUGCUAAAAAUUUUCAGGAGUUAGUAUAAAUCAUUCCUUUUUCUUCUUUAACUUCUCUUUCCUCAAAUUGGGUUUUAAUUAUCCCUCGAGAUGUGUGUUUUAAGUGCUAUGGCUUCGAUGUGGGUGUGUAGGCUAAUUCCAGGGACGAGGGCAGAUUUAGCAAUAAACUACAACGCACUGGAACUAAGAAAUGUUCCUGUAGCUUUUUUUCCCUGAUGUUUCUUUCCAGUAACAAAAUGUUAGUGUGAAAUCAUUGUACUGUAUUUAGUACAAAACAAAUAGGGAUUUCAUCUAUGCAUUUAGUAAUACCUGAAUAUAAAAAUAAAGCAGCCAAAUAAAAUUCAGAUGACCUUGGGAAUACUACACAAGUAAAUCACGAGAGAUGAGCGAACGAAGCACUGGUCAAAUUGUUUGAAACAAAGGGAAAGUUUCUCAGCUCACAAGAUGAAAGCUUUGAUUUUCUCAUAAAAGAAAACUAAUAAGAAAUAGUUAUUUUCCUGAAAUACAACGUUCCAAAUGGGAGUUGGCGGGGGGGAGCAACAGUAUUUUAAUACAUUUUGCAAUCUGC